GACGAACGCUGGCGGCGUGCUUAACACAUGCAAGUCGAACGGAAAGGCCCUGCUUUUGUGGGGUGCUCGAGUGGCGAACGGGUGAGUAACACGUGAGUAACCUGCCCUUGACUUUGGGAUAACUUCAGGAAACUGGGGCUAAUACCGGAUAGGAGCUGCUGCUGCAUGGUGGGGGUUGGAAAGUUUCGGCGGUUGGGGAUGGACUGGCGGCUUAUCAGCUUGUUGGUGGGGUAGUGGCUUACCAAGGCUUUGACGGGUAGCCGGCCUGAGAGGGUGACCGGCCACAUUGGGACUGAGAUACGGCCCAGACUCCUACGGGAGGCAGCAGUGGGGAGUAUGACACAACGGGCGGAAGCCUGAGGCGGCAACGCCGCGUGCGGGAUGACGGCCUUCGGGUUGUAAACCGCUUUCGCCUGUGACGAAGCGUGAGUGACGGUAAUGGGUAAAGAAGCACCGGCUAACUACGUG
rnacentral:rRNA from 1 species